CAAUCCAAGAGCAUGGGAUAUCUUUCCAAUUUUUUAAAUCAUCUUCAGUUUCCUUUAUCAAUGUAUAGUUCUCAGCAUAUAAGUCUUUCACCUCCUUGGCCAGACUUCUUUAGUGUAAAGAAACGCAACAGAUUUAUGUAUGUUAAUCUUGUAUCCUGUUACCUUGAUGAAUAUGUUUAUCAGUUCUAGUUUUUGUGUGGAGUCUUUAGGGUUUUCUGUAUAUACUAUCAUGUCAUCUGCAUAUAAUGACAGUUUUAUCUCUUCCCUUCUAAUUUGGAUACCACAGAGGGUUUUUUAUAUGAAGUCUAGCCAGUGCUGAAUAAGAGAAUGACAUUUUCAAAGUCAAUAGAGUAGGUUGAGUUACAGUUUCAUUAUGUUAUUAGAAACUAAUUUUUCACUAAGUAGCUGAGCAUUUGGCAGGGAUUUAGUAGUGAACAUGAUUCUGCCUCUCUGUUAACAUUAUGUACACACUUAUUCCAAGAGUUAUAUUUCACCUCACUUAUCUCAAAGAGCCAAAAGAUAACAACGUAUUAGAGUAGCCUUAUUCUUUUUGCAAACUUCAAAUAAAAAGGCUUAUGAUUAGCCCUUAGAAAAGACAACACUGUUCAUGUUCAGUUAAGCAGGGUUUUUCUUUACCCAAAAGUAAAGACUAGUAUUAACUACUACAAACUAAUUUCUAUAAAGCUCACAGUUAAUCAGCAUGUUAGAGCUCUGGAUUCUUAAAGAACAGUGAGCCCAGGCCUCAUGCGUUUCACAAAGAUAUUUAAACUUUAUAUUGCAUUUUCUGAAAAAAGACCCGAUGAUUCAAACAAACUGAUAUGUGAUUAAAAAAACAUGUAUUAUGGGCAGUUUCACUUCUGGGAAUUUAUCAUAAGGAAAUAAGGAUGUGCACUAAGAUUUAGGUACAGUAAUAUUCAUUACAGCACUGUUUAUUGUGGCACAAAAUUGGAAGCAAUCCAUGUAUACAGUUAGAGGAGUAAAGUACAUUCAUUCAAUAGAAUAAUGUGUUGCCUUUCAAAAACAAAGAUAUUGAAAUGUAUAAGUACAUGGAAAGAGAUUCCUGUUGUGUUAAGUGCAAAAAGCAGGAAACCAGACUAUUUGUAAACAAGGAUUCAUUUCUCUGCCUAUCUUUAGGAUAUAAAUAUAUAUAUCUUGUAGGUGCAUAUAAAUAUGUAUGUGUACAUAUACAUAUUAUAAAUGAUGAAGUGGUUGCCUCUGAGUAAUGAAAUUGUUUAUUUACAUUCUAAAAUUUUAAAAUAAAUUUAACUUUUUAAAACCACGUUUCAACACGAGUUUUAUAACCACAUCUAAAUUUAACUUUUGGCUCUACGUAAAGAAAGUUUCAUCAAUAAAAUUAGGAUAAUACAUACUUCAUAGUAUUGUUAUAUUUUUUAAAAAACAUAAAGGGCAUGGCUUUUAGUAGUUUCUCAAUAAGUGUUUAUCUAAACCCUUUUGGAAGAAUGGAAUAGAAACCUUUAUUUCCUUUGUCCAUGGUUUCUUAUUUCUCUGCAAACCUAUAGCCAAUUAUAGAAAGUAAAAUUAAUGGUAGAGAUUCUGCAUUUUCAAAAGUAGUGCAGGGUGGUGAGGUUAGUACUAGGAGUUAAAUCAAUUCAAAGUAUUCUUGUCUACACCUAGGGGUAACAUUUUAUUGACUAAAGUUAGUCUACUUGCUUUCCUACUUAAUUUACUUCUAUGAGCAGUGUUAAGUAAACAUUUUUCUCUUAGAAAGAAUUAUCCUUCAUACUUUAAAUCAACCUUCUCUUGGGUGUCAUAGCCUUCUCCAACUGAUGAACAUAUUUACAAAAUUUAUUAUGAAGCACAUUGUUAUUUUAUUUCCUGGAAGAGAGUACGAGGGAAAGACACAGUUGAGAAAAGUUUGCCAAACUUUAAUAACAAAACAAUAUGUCUAGGAUUUGGAUCCUGUUAUAUUCCUAGCUCUUUUGGUAGAUUUAUGGACGCUAAAAGCAAACAAGCUUUAAAAAGAUACUUGGCUACUUAAGCCACAUAUUUGUAACAGCCUAAUUGAUUUUCCACUUAAUAUAGAAUUUGCUUAUUCUCUGUUAAUAUUUCUAUUUAGAAGUGUCAAUUUCAUGUUAUCCUCUUUUAAAAAGUCCAAAAAUGUUUAGGGCCAUGUAUUCCAAAGUAAAGGUUUAUACAUUUGUGUUUACAGAGAUAAUGAAAAUAUAAAAGUUUAGUUGUAAUAUCAAGGAAGGGUUAAAGAAUAUUGGAAAUCUAUAUAGAAUCAAGAGGAGAGAUACUGUAACGUGGUCAGAGAUGUUUGAAACUGGCUGUGUAAAAAUACCAAGAGAAUAAGCAAGGUCACCCUGAACCAUUUAGUCUGAGUGGCAUUUCAUGCAAAUACCCUUGAGCUUGAGGUUAGACUGAUUGAAGCCAUGACUUGAAUUGCUGCUGUCUUUGAGCUGCUGAUCUCAGAGACUUGAGGUAUUGAUGUUGUGGAUGGAUCCAAGUAGUAAAAUGUCUCAUUUGCUAUGACGCCUGCGUGGGUACUUAACUUCUGAUCAUUCUGCUAAUAUUUCCAGGGGCUGUGUUUCUUUGUAAGGUUAGUUCAGCGAUGAUUACAUAUUAAUCAAAUGUAUUUAUGUUCUUUUUGGAUCUCUUCCAUUCUGUGGACAAUAGUAGCACCUUAAUUUUAACAACUGUGAUAUUCUCUAUUUGGGGAAGGGGUGGGUGAUAGGAAUAGAUUAUAUAAACACAUGGUGCAAAAUUCAAAAUUUAAGAAAAGAUACAUGAGCUUUUCAGUUUCAGCUUCGACAUGUAAAGCUUGGAAGCUGUCUCUUCUACCGUCACAACAAGAAAAAACUGAACAAACUGAAAAAUCAAUGGCUUUUUUAGAUCCUUUGGAGAAUUGGGGUCACAGGACUAACCACCACCUCAAAAACAGGAGAGAUAAAUGAAUGCAGAGAAUAUAGAUCAACCUACCUGCAGCAAAAGCAUGAUGGGAACCCUUAAAUAAUAACUUUGGUAAUUGCGAGAGGCUGUGUGAACUAGCUUGAGAGUUAUAAACUUCUGGGAACCAUCAUGCUUUUACACUUUCCUGAGUUUUACCUCUGGGAGCCCCACCACGUUCUCACAGAGGAAACUUCCCCAUGUUUGGCCUGGAGGAGAGGGAAAGUAACCCUUUCGAAAUAAGCCCAGAACAUUCUCCAUAACAAAGUCCUAUCAGACAAGGAAAAAACUGAAGCCUUAUCAGGCUUGGAGGAAGGGUAAUUACCUAACUCCAGUCCCUUUUAGAACUUCAAGUCUCACCUAAGGGAGAAAAAAUGCUGAGAAGCACUUGUAAAGGUUACAGCCCAGGGACACAGGACCACUCAAUGAGAGUGGUCAUCGCUACUGAUCUCAUUAAUAUGAAAAGGAUAGUAAAGGAAUAUUAUGAGCAUCUAUCUGUCUACAAAUUUAAUGACCUAGAUGAAAUGGACCAAUUUUGUGAGAGAGACAAGCUAAAAUUCACACAAGAAGAAAUGGAUACUCUGAAUAGGACUGUAUCUAUUAAAUCAAUAAUUACUAACCUUCCAAAACGGCAUCAGGCCAAGGUGGUUUCACUGGUGAAUUCUACCAAAUAUUUGAGAGAAAUGAUACAAUUUUUCUACAAUCUCUUCCAGAAAAUAGAAGCAUAUCAUUCUGUGAGGCCAUCAUUACCCUAAUACCAAAACCAGACAAACAUUACAAGAAGACCAAUAUCAUGAACCAAAGAUAUAGUCAUACCUUGGAAAUAUUGCAGAUUGAGUUCCAGACCACUGCUAAUAAAGAAAAGAUCUCAAUAAAGUUACAGGAUAUCAGAGGGGUAGUGUGAUGCAACCCAAUGAGGAAUGGACAUCUCCAGUGACUGAGGUGAUGUGGAACUCUAUGUCCUCUGGGGAGAGGAGCACAGGCUCCGGACGCACAGGCUCAGCGGCCAUGGCUCACUGG